UUUUCAAAUAGAUCGAAAUAAAUAUUAUGUUACAAAAUAUAAUUAUACUAAGGGACAGUUUGGUUGAAUAUAAUUAUAAAUAUAGUGUAGUUAAAAAUACAUGCAGUUGAAAAUAUAAUAAUUAUAAUUACAUAUAAUUUGUUCGGUUGAAAAAAACUAAAAUGAAUAAUUUAUCGGCCAAUUUGCAUAAAAAUUCACUUAUUUUGGACUUUUGCAAAACUGGACCACCUUUUUCGUUUUUGCAGAUUCGGUCCGCUUUUUCAGCAAACUGACCAAAAUACCCUUAUUACUUUUUCUCUUUCCUCUUUCUCUCUCCUCUUCGUUUCUAUCGUUCUUUUUUUUUUCUCGCCGAAAAAAAAGAGGCGGAUCGAACCGUCGCCUCCCUCCUCACCCUCCUUCUUCACCGUUGCCUCCCUCCUCACCCUCCUCUCCACCGCCCACGACCCCUCCUCCUCUCCC
rnacentral:lncRNA from 1 species